GAUCAACAGGUCUCUCUCUAUACGCUACUAGCUACAAAGUGCUGUGAUGCUCGUCUUCUCGAGCGCGUGAGGACGCUGAAACGCUCGCUUGAGUCGGUGGACGCGCUCGCGAUGGACACGGUGAUAAAAAGGUACUUGGGGAGUCGAAGAAACAGAAACAGAAGGGACGGGCUUCGGCGCCACAGUGCACACUUUUCGUCCGUAUCACGCGAUAAACAACGGAUCUAGAAGCUACCGAACUCAGCAGCGUAAAGAAGAAGGCUGAAGAUAAGAAGGAGAAGCAAUCAACGGACAUAGAUGUCGAAGAUCUUGCCCCGAAAGAGGUUAACGAUGGACUGGAGAAAAACUGACCGAGCUUAUAGAUCAGUCUGGAACCGUUUUCCACGCCGCCCUUGGAAAACAAAUCAACAGGGGGGGUCUUCCAAAUAGUAAUAAGUAGGACCUGCUAGGGAUCGCAUGGCUGCUUCUCACUUGAGUAAGUCUCAUCUUGCCGCUCCCACGAUGACACGGCUCUUCAGGCAACUGAUCGUUAGAGUCCCCGACUCUGGGCUGUCAGUUGCCUACGUACUACUUGAAUUAUUCGUUCAAAGCUUCCUACGACGGCAGAGCUGAGGCUCAGGACAAAAGCUGUAAUUGCGCCUGAUCUUUGGAUUCGGGGUUCAGUGUAUGUGCUUCUCGGAAUACCUUGACGCAUCGCAGCGCCACCUUGGCGUGCGGAACGUCGACCGGGCAGUCGGCAGAUUCGAUCCUAUCGAGCAUCGAGGCUCAUUUCCGACCAGUCAAGGUAGACGAAGAGAAAGACUUCAUGUUGAGCAUGGAUACCAGGUUCAAGGGCAUCGCAGCCGUUACCAUUCCACUUAUUCAAGAGGACGGAGCCAAAGACGUGAAGAGAAAGCAGAGGAAGCCGCUGAAGUUUUCUGGGGCUUGGUAUUAUCGGGUGUCGAUCAUAAUGGACUCCAGGAAGCAUAGCAAUAGGUGGAAUGUCGGCAUACGGAUCCACCUGCAUGUUCUGAGAAUCAUGUUGCGUUGAAGCAGGGGCGUUGCUUUGUGUGUUUCAGUUGGAGAGUCGUUGAGCGUGCAGAUAGCACGUAAGGACCCCCUUUGGCUGGUUAGCAUGCGAUUGCGCCAGACUCGCCAGCGGUUUCGGUUGUGCAUAAGUACAAAGCGUGAAUUCGCCAACUUGUGCAGUGAGUCGGAAAAGCAAAAGACAGAGAAGGCGCGUCGUUUAAUCGGAGCCUAUGACGCUGGACAUACUGUAACGCACGGGGGCUGGUUUCCUGCGCCUUCGACAUGACGCGGCAACGCGUGAAAGAAUCGAUUCUGCACGAUUCGCAUCCAUGAAUUAGGGACGAUUUACGCGGAUCUUGGAUACAUAUCCAAGCUGAAACUCGUCGAGAAGAAGAACGUGAAACAGAGCAAGGUGCACGAGAUGGUAUUUGGUUAGCUGACUGAACAUCAGAUUGCGAGCCAGUUGAAGGUGACAUGCUUCCUUGCGCUCGAUUCCGCUGGGAACAAUGCGCGCAAGCACUUUCUGCACUGGGACUUGAACCCCUCGAUCAGCCUACGGAAAGCACUGGCGCCUAUGGAGCACUCAGCGGUUUUUUGUCCAGCGAGUUUUCGCGGCAGUCUUUUCGUACUCAGGGUAAGCACGGGGCAGAAAUGCCGUAGACGUGCAGAGAAAAAAACGAGUGGCCAGGAGAGCGCAUUGGAUUACCGCCUGAAGUAAUGCACUGGUAUGGUACGAUGUAGCAAUGCAAAAAGCAUACAGGACCGGAUGUAUACGCAGAGAACGCCUCUUCUGGGCAAUUGCUGGACACUCAUGGUAAUCCAUUAUUCGAUAGGACAGCGUUUGCGUCUCCCAUAGGAAUGAGACGCUGCGCGAUCCCAGCGCACAGUGGAGACCGAUUACUGUUUCCUGCUAGAUGAUGAAUGCUACUGCCCCAUUGGUCCGUGUUGUUGAUUCGGAAGCGGCAAACGCUCCGAUGAAAAGGACCUGCAGAAUCGCUAUCUGAAGCGGAAAGGUUCUCGCGUGUUGCCGCUGUGCGGUGCAACGCAGGAGCUCUUCGGCGCGGCUGCUGCGACGGCCAAGUUUUUCCAUUUGUUUCGCCGUUUCCGUGAAUCGAGCACCUGCUGCACAAAAAUUCCACACACCGGAAUCGGACCUGGUGCGGAUUAUGAAGAGACCCUCAAUAACGAGGCGCGAAUUGCUGGCGCUGCAAGCAUUGCCGAUCAUUCCGUGGAUUCGCUCUGAGCGGGAGUAAGCCGCUGGCGAGUCACAUGGCCACUGUACCGCAUACGACCUGCGACAUCGAGUGACAAACGAGGUGCUUUACGUUUUCCACGGGAACCCGAGAUCCAUUCGAUGCAUACAGCCUGGCGCUGGGACAGCUUCAAACCCGCGCAAUGGACCGGGUGCAUCGACUAGGCAGUGGCCGCAGUUCUGCGUACGAUUCGAUGCGCUUUGCUGAACACCAAUGUCGUAUAAAGCGCCGAUGGAUAGCUGAGGUUUUCCGAGCAAUCCGUUAGCGAGGGUCUUCGGUUUGCAGGCACGGGAUAUCCUAGUCCGUGGUGCAUACUCCUGGCGAGUCUCUAGGCCGUUCGCGUGCUCGGCAGCCGCGGAGGUACCGCGCGAGGCACCGGUCGCUUUUCCCGCCAACCGUACGCAUCACCACCACCACCACCAGCACCACCACGAGGAGCGCGCAUAGAAUUAUUUCACGGAACAUGUCCAGCGAAGUGGUUGCUUCGUUGCCGCUCAAGCUAUGCAGGCGAAAAACAGCAUGCUUACAGGCGGUGCGCGCCUUGUGCGCUGUUUUCACGAUAUCUGCUUCGUGCCGCACGACAGGGUAGAGCUGUUUCAGGUAGCGUCCGAUUCAUCGGUGUUGGUGUUGCGAAAGCGGGACGCAUGCCGUGGCUGCUCGAACUGCCUAUCUCGUGCGGGGAGAAGGCGCUCCAAAAGGGGGUCUCGUGCUGUCAUUUCCAGCUCCAGACGAGUCUCGGGUGCGCUAGAGGCUGCUCUGCGCACUCUCGAUGCUUCGAUAUCGCUCUCUCCCGACGCAUCUAUUUCAUCCGCACUGCUACCAGAGUUGGCAGAAUCCUCCUCCUCGUCCUCCUCCUCCUCCUCCUCGGAGAGAGAAUGGACGGAACCCGCCUGCUCUGCUGGAUCAUUUGGUCUGGUUUGCGGUGCGACGCCUACAAUAGGUUCCAAAUUGAUGUAAAAGAGUUCGUACA